UGGGCCGAGGUUUUGGCUAGCCCCCCAUUGUCAGACGUCCCGAGCGCGUUCCCGAAGUCGGAAUCGGCAAAGGUGAGUCGGGAUAGCCUUCUUCCUCCGCCCAGCCGCCACAGUAAUUUGUCGUCAAGUUUGCCACAGGAGGAUAUUUUGUUCUGGGUUAACCUGCUUUUCUACCUCACAGGUUGUUUAUCAAUAUUGUGUAAUUUUAAUUACUCCUAGAAUUUUCGCAUGUGUUAGCAGUAAUUAUUUGAAUUUGGU